UUUUCUGUCCUGGGACACUCGGCUAACCAUCAAGAAAGAACACACUCCAGUGGGCAUCCUUUAUCCAUCCAGACCCUCAUACAGAUGGUUGGAGUUUUGAUUCACCUAAAGUACCAUGCAAGAGCACUCAUUUUCCCUCUUGAGACCAUGGUGUGACCUGCAAGGUCGAAUGGAGACUGUAAACAAGACAAUCUUGGAGUCACCUGCAUUCACUGGUCCAGUUGUUAGUCCAAUUACAGAUGGAGAUUAUAGAAGAGGAUGAUGUCUUUUCUCCAACAUCUUUCUAGACUGAUAAAAGAUCUAGACAGGCUUGAACAAAAGUUAACAGAGGGGCUUAUAUAGAGAAUGGUGAGCAGCUACACAUAAAAGAAGAACAUGGAGAAUCUGCCCAGAGGUGUUAACCAGCAAUGCAGCUAUACAACUAAAUUGAUGCAGGCGGAAACAAUGUGUGUAUGUUAUGUCCAAAUGUUGUUAUGUUC